AUUGAACGCUGGCGGCAGGCUUAACACAUGCAAGUCGAGCGAGCGGCGGACGGGUGAGUAAUGUCUGGGAAACUGCCUGAUGGAGGGGGAUAACUACUGGAAACGGUAGCUAAUACCGCAUACCAUCGGAUGUGCCCAGAUGGGAUUAGCUAGUAGGUGGGGUAAAGGCUCACCUAGGCGACGAUCCCUAGCUGGUCUGAGAGGAUGACCAGCCACAUGGGGACUGAGACACGGUCCAGACUCCUACGGGAGGCAGCAGUGGGGAAUAUUGCACAAGGGGCGCAAGCCUGAUGCAGCCAGGCCGCUUGUAUGAAGAAGGCCUUCGGUUUGUAAAGGACUUUCAGCGGGGAGGCGUGACCCGCAGAAGAAGCACCGGCUAACUCCGUGCCAGCAGCCGCGGUAAUAC
rnacentral:rRNA from 1 species